CCCCUAGACGUUCUGGGCUGUACGCGCGCUACAAUAAUACGCACAGCGAGUAUCACCGAGCUCGAAAGGGCAAGGUAAACAAUAGAAAAGGUACUGUAAUGGUUAUAGAUCCUUGUAAUUAUUGAUCUUCAACGAGGAAUUCCUAGUAAGUAUGUGUCAUCAUCACGCACUGAUUACGUCCCUGCCCUUUGUACACACCGCCCGUCGCUCCUACCGAUUGGGUGAGCCGAUGAAACUCUCGGAUGUAGGCUAUUCAUAGCCCGCAGAAGAGAUUUGAAUCGUAGCGCUUAGAGGAAGGAGAAGUCGUAACA
rnacentral:rRNA from 1 species